GCUAAGCUUUAGCUGGUUGAGGAUUGGCCAAGUGUAAGUUCAACCUAUUUGGUCCCCUUCAACCAGCUGUGGUUAGCAU